UACAGAGGUCUCAACCGUUGUUCGGAUUCAUUGGGCGUAAAGGGUGCGUAGGCGGUCGUGCAAGUCGGAUGUGAAAUCUCAGGGCUCAACCCUGAAACUGCAUUCGAUACUGCGCGGCUAGAGUGCUGGAGGGGAGACUGGAAUUUACGGUGUAGCAGUGAAAUGCGUAGAUAUCGUAAGGAAGACCAGUGGCGAAGGCGAGUCUCUGGACAGCAACUGACGCUGAGGCACGAAGGUCAGGGGAGCAAACGGG
rnacentral:rRNA from 1 species